AGGCAGUGUAUUGUUAGCUGGUUGAAAAUCUGACAGCAGCUAACCUACAUCUGCUAUC
rnacentral:pre_miRNA from 1 species